AGGAUUCUAUCAUCCAGUGCCGACGUUGCCAACAACGGACAUAUUGUUCACUAUAAUUAUAGUUCGUUCCAAGAUAUUUCGUCUCGGUUACUUACCUGUCAUAAUAUCUAAGUAGGUAGUUGGUAAUCCCAAACAACAAGUACAGAAGGAGAGAAAAGUUGCCGUUUCGUGAUAAGAACAAGACGCUCACCCAUAAGGAAGAAGAAAGUCUGGCAUAUAAUUAAAUAUAAAAUCUAAAAUAGACUUUCGAGUACGUUUUUAGAUUUUAUUUGAAAUGUAUUUAUCUAGACAUUCCAAUGUCACUAUUUCUAAAUAGGAAUUAAACAGAAAACAAAUAAAUGAAAGUGUGUAAAAUUUAAUUUACGUAUAUAAAACUACUACUUUGAUUAUUAUAAAUGAAAACAGGUUUUUAUUCAUAUAUACUCAGUGGCAAUAAAAGUGUUACAAUCCGAAGAACUAAUUGAUCAAUAUUGAUUCCACAACACUUUUUUCAUUUUCGUUUAUUAGUUUGUCUGUCUAUAAAAAUGGAAUUUUCUAAUCAACUUUCCACUAAUUUUUAAUCCAUCGAUUAACUUUAAUUGCACCUAAUUUUUCGCUUUUGAUGACUGGGAAAUGCGCCAUUUCAAAUUUUUGUAUAGAUUAAUAGAUUAUGAACGUUUGAGUUGUGUGGUAUUGUGGCAACUGAACACCAAAGUGUAUUCUUUUCAAUAUAUAUACGUGACAAAAAUAUGGGGUUUAUAUUUAUGUCAAGUGUCAGUUUCAAGACACCUCAAUUCGCAAUUGAUUAAUUCCCUGAUAACGAAUGCAUAAGUCUUUAAAAGCUCGAGAUAGAUAUUAAAAAGAGUACCUUUUGUUAUUGGAUUGCCACAAUCUCACAAAUAAAACGAUCAUAACCUAGUUAGCGAAGACUUAUAUAAAUUUGUAACAAAGCGCGUCUGAAGUUUCAUGAGGCCAAAUUAAUAAGAUAUUUCUGUAUGUCCUCGCUUACAAAUUGUAUUUUUAUUAAUAUAAAAAUGAUAUAACUUCGUGAUAUAUAUCUAUAAAGUUCGAAUUGCUUGCCGAGUUAUUGAACUACCGUUUUCCGAUUUCCAACCCCAUUCUUCAGUAAUUUUAACUUUAUCACAUUGAACGUACAAGUCAAUGAAUUGAAACUUUGUACAAUUUCGGAUUUUGCUCUCCAUAGUUUUACGUCUUUUGAUUUGCUAGAAAAGGACGCCUAUUUAAAUAAGACAGUAAGUUCUAGGAGCAUUGUAGAGAAAUUCUAACAGAGUGCUAUCUGAAUCAGUGGAGUGAGAAGGGAAAUAUUGGAGGACCGGCUAAAUUUGGCAGCCUCAAGUUCCAUGAAGGCCGAGUUUUUGAAGGCCACCGGUUGUUGGGUAUGCUCAUAAGAGUUCAAAUUUGUCCUGAGAAUCGCCAAGAUAUAGAGAUAUUGAUCUCACUUAUUCUAAAACAUGUAGAAGAUACGCACAGAUGAGUGGCGUGCUCAGAACGAAUACGAUUACCUCCAAGAGACAGUGUGUUAUGAUCGAGAAUUCGUGCCUCAAUAAGCAGUAACAACUCAAAGAAUUUAAGCUUUAUGACGACCAACGCGUGCUUACUUCCUUAGGUGUAAUGUUAGAAGGGAAAUAUACCCCAACCAUGUAGUUGAGUACCGAAGGCGAUGUUGUAACAUAAAAAACAAAAUAGAUAAGUUUCAAGACUUGUUAGAUGAAAUUGUAUAAAUUGUGAGAUUAUAAAUAAAAGAAAAUUUUCUAGUUAGAUUGGGUUAGGUUAGGCUCCCUCUAUUUGUCGUUUCAAACUCUUUGGGUUAAUUUCAAGAAAUUUCUUUUCAAAUUAUUAGCCAUUCAAGCGAUUUUUUCGUUUCAAAACAUUUUUUUUGUCCAAUUACAACUGUACAUUCACUUUCUCACAACGCCAUUCCUUUUCAUUUCUGCAAAGAAUAGUUGCAUAUUUUUAGUCCUCACCUCACUUUACUCAAUCUACAUACCAAACCCUAACUACUUCCCUCACCGUCAUCAUACAGUAAGUCUUACCCACUGGUUUUCCAUGUUUGGGUUGUUUAGAUAAUCCCAUUUUUCAUCGCAAGUAACAAUGCGUCUAAUAAAACGACCAUAUGUCAGCAGGGCAAAAAACUGUUUACACAUCUCUACUCGAGCGACGUUUCGCUUGAAUCUCGGUUAUUUCGUGUGGAAGUAUGCAAGAACUUUUGUAGAUCUUAUCCCUUAGAAGGUCUAAGGGAGACCCAUAAUGGCGAGGGCAGCUACUAGUUGGUUUUCUUCUGGUUUCCUUGUAACUUCAAUAUCCCACGCAGUGAGCGACUUGGGCCUUCCACUAAUUAAUUGUGUCUUCAUCUUCAAUUUCACAUAAUUUCCUUCCUGUCACGACAGCUUUAAAUUAAGAGAAUGUCUCAAUAAUAGUCGUAAAUAAACAAAGAGAUAAUGAUUAGAAAAGCAAUUGUACUUUUCAUAGAAUUAGAGACUAUUCUUAACAAGUUACGACAUGGUCAAAUUGAGGCGUAGGAUCUUUUGUAUAUGAAAAUGGGGCAGCCUCUAGACAUUUUAAUAGAAAUUUAAAAACUAUGGAAUAUUAUUCUUGGUGUAAAUAUUUUUAUAUAAAUAAAUAAAAGUUUUUUAUUUCUACAACAGAUACAUAAGUAACAAUAUUAAGAUGCGUGAGAAAUGUAAAAAAUUCCUUAAAAGAAUUUCUCAUAAGCAAGAAACGUGCUUUUUUUUCGCAGUUUAAUAUUUCAAAACACACAAUCUUAUAUAGUACCCAACUGGGUGGUCAAUACGAGUUACAAAUGUAUUGUUUUGCGUGCAUAACAAUAGAAGUUCGAAUGUGCAUUGAUUUUAAUUUUUGACUUGAUAAAAUACCGUCAGGACAAUGGUUAAUAAGAGUCGCAUUAAUCGAUAAAUAAUGAACAUAAGUUAUAUAUAGAGAAUUGCCUAAAGGGAAUGAAUAUGGGAUUCUGCAAGUGAUUCGAAAAAGUUCAGACUAAAUAUAUAGUUACAUUGAAGAGAGGAGGAAUUAGGAUUACUGAAGAAACUACAAGAAAUCAAAGUUAUUAGCUUGAUUAUUCAUAAAUUUUCAGUCUUACUGGAGAAAAACAGGCUUAAGACAAUCCAGAUUAUUAUUGAUAACUAUAUCAGAUGAAAAGUCUGAGAAACUUUUCGUGAUGACCAGGAACGACAUAAAACUGAUGGUCACUCUUCUGAUAGAACACUAGCUCGUUAAAUGCCUCAAGAUCAUAGACAUGGCAGAGAACGUCAAUUGUAGAUUUUGAGAGUUAUGGACAGCAGAGCAUCUACUCCUCAAAGAAAGUGAGACUCAAAUCCCCAGAAAAAUUAACCUUCUUUGGAAAUAGAACAAUCAGAUGUAGAGUCUUUUACAAAAUAUUAUAUUGGUAUAGGUGCAGAGUGGCUGAAUAGCCUCAACCAAUCUACAAUCAUAUCUUAUGAAGUAACUAAUAAUUUUAUGAAUUCAACUGUUAAAAAAAAGCAAUGUUGUUGCAAUAAUGUUGUUGGAACACUCAAACAAAUGUUGACAGUAAUCUGGUGCGUACGAAUUAAAGCUAUUGCAAAAAUUGGAGAGAUUAAAGUUUCCUAUGGUAUAAUUAAUUUUUUUUAACUUCAUCAAGAUACAAAGUAUGUCGAAACACAGAUGCCAAAUUUACUUAUUUUAACCAACAUGUUUAAAGUUUAAAGAAAACAUCUUAUAUGUUAUAAUAUUUUAAUUACAUUGUAUAGUCAUUUUUGUACAACUGUCAAAAAAGUGUCACUUUUGAUGACAGUUUGAUAGUGUUAAAAGUAAAAUCAAUCGUUCACUAAUCAGUAUUUUCUCCUUAAAAUUUUAAUAACAAAUUCCCGGAAAGGGAUAUUAUAAUAAUAAAGAGAUGGAGGAAAAAGAAUGAAAAUAUAGAACAAUUAAAGCGAAUUGAAAGAACAUGGUAUAAAUAUUGAAUGAACAACAAAUCCCGGGGUAGAAGUAAUAUCUGGGUAGGUGAAGAAUAUUCUGAAUAGAUCUUGAGUAACAAGCAAACUAUAAAAAUGUAAAUAAAUAAUAGUUGACAGAAAUCACUUGAAACAAGAAAAGAAUUGAAGAGAAGAAGUAAAUUGAACUCAAAAAGAAUUGAAUAAGUGAAUCAGAACAAUUACAACACAAGAAAUGUUUGUAAUGGACGGAAAUAAUAUCUACAAAAAUGACAAUGGAUAAAAAAUUCAUUCAAAAACGUUAGGAAAGUAUCAAAAUAGGAACCAAAAAUAGAACAUACAUCAGAUAAAUAGGUUAGAAUGAAGACAAUUUGAUUAACAAGAAAAUAAUGGUCACAGGAAAUGAAUGAGGAAAUCAAGAGAGAAACGUUUAGAACAAAUAGAGGAAUUGAAGGAAAAAAGAAAA